rnacentral:lncRNA from 1 species
AGUAAGUCAAGGGGACCCUCCCCUCCUGCUCCUCCCACACUGCACAGCGGGUUCCAGCCAGGGCAGUGAGGCAAGAACAUGGAACUCAAAUCACCGGGAUUAGCAAAAAAGACGUAGAACUACGCCUCACGCCGUAGGUGGAAUGGCCUAAGGAAUCUACAAAGAUAAAAUAAAAUGAAGUAAAACCUGAUAAGAUGAUCGAAGGAGUUUAACAAGAUCACGGGGCGUAGGGUAUUUCUGCACUGACAGUGAACACCCCAAGAUGAAAUGCAGAAAGCGUCCUGGUCAAAUAGCAUCAGAAAGAAUAAGCUACUUAGGAAUAAUUUCGCAAGGGAAGUGUGAGACUUGUAUGCUGCAAACUGCAAAACAUGGCUGGAAAAAAGACCCAAAGAAAACCUGAACAGAUGGAGAGACUUCCCACGUCGAGGCUGGAAGGCUGAACCCUGCGCAGACGGCGGGGCUCCCGCGGUGCUCCGUGGCCUUCGUCCCCCUCUGGCCGUGUUCCCUCCCCGGCUCAGAGCCACUCCUCCUAGUUACCACCCUCGGCCCUCCCUCUGCAAGCCCAGGAUGCCCGGGCCACAGGCCGGUGAGCUGGGGGUCCAGCCUCUCCUGGCGUUUUACCCGCGUAGGUGACAACUGACGGCACUGGAGCAGAGAGGCUGACUCUGCCCGAGGAGACCAGGGAGGCUUGGACCCCAGGCUGGAGGGGGCCGGGGACCCAGACCCACUCACUUGAUUUGGAAGGACACGGGGCUGUCAAACCUAUGCAGGGUCAUCACACCCGGCCCUUCGUUUGUCCCUUUUCGGCCAAGCUCAGGACCCCGUAACCCAGGAAGACAAGCUCGUGGUUCUGAGAUGACCCAGGGAAUUGCCCAAUCCCACCCGACACCCUUGUUCCUUCCUCUGGUCAUUGACGCUCCUCCCAGAUGGCUUCGAGAGCCCCGCAGAUCCUUCCACUACUCCCCAGCCUAGAAGAUCCAGGGACAGAAGCCCUCGAGGUUCUGGCUGGGCCCAUGUGCUGAGAUGCCUCUGAGAAAGCCGAUUUCAUUUCUGAUUGUGGAAUUUUACUCUCAAACCAAAAGAUGCUACAUGCCGCUCCUGACGCCGUGGCACGGAAUCACGCCACGCGUCCCUUGUUUCCGGAUUUCUCUUCUGUGGCUUAUUGAUGGCACUCAAGCACCGCACAGCAAUGACGUCUGUCCUGGCAGGGCACACGCACUCUGCGUCUGAACGAGUAUUGAGCUAAUUCCAAAGCCCAGCAGAGACGUGGGCGCGCGUUUAUCUGGAGGAGACCAGGCGCGCCGUGGUUGGCUCUGGCCGUGGGACCCUGGGCUGAGCACCGACCCAGGCCACCCCAAGUCACCAAAAGAGGGUAGGGAGGGAUGGACAAAAGUAUUUAUUUUGCCUAUUUUCUUGCCAGUGUCCAGAUUCAAAUGUACUGUUUUUAAACUACAUUAGCACUUUCUGCCCUGUGGCCCGCAAUGAUUGUGCUGUGAUUAUUAAACACCAUAAAUAAGAAUGCAGCAUUUCCCCA